UACGAAGGGUGCAAGCGUUAAUCGGAAUUACUGGGCGUAAAGCGUGCGUAGGCGGUUUGUCGCGUCUGCCGUGAAAGUCCGGGGCUCAACUCCGGAUCUGCGGUGGGUACGGGCAGACUAGAGUGAUGUAGGGGAGACUGGAAUUCCUGGUGUAGCGGUGAAAUGCGCAGAUAUCAGGAGGAACACCGAUGGCGAAGGCAGGUCUCUGGGCAGUAACUGACGCUGAGGAGCGAAAGCAUGGGGAGCGAACAGGA
rnacentral:rRNA from 1 species